GCUGUGAUGGCCGAGUGGUUAAGGGAUUGGAUUAGAAAUCCAAUAAGGUUUCACUAUGCAAGUUCAUAUCCUGCUCAAAGUG
rnacentral:tRNA from 1 species